GUUUGUUUGAAGUUAUAAAGAAUCUAACCUGCCCCCUGAUUUAAAAUUUAAAGGGCCGCAGUAUUAUAACUGUGCAAAGGUAGCAUAAUCAUUAGGUUUUUAAUUGAAAUCUUGUAUGAAUGGUUGGACAAAAGAAAAACUCUCUUUAAAUUAAUUUUGAAUUUAACUUUUAAGUGAAAAGGCUUAAAUAUUCUAAAGGGACGAUAAGACCCUAUAAAACUUUAUAUUAAAAUUAUAUUUAAUUAAAUUUGUUAAAUAAAAAUUUAAUUUAGUUAUUUAUUAUGUUGGGGAGACAUGAACAAAAUAAUAUUUUAACUGUUUAUAAAAUAUACAAUUAUAAUUGAAAUAAGUAAGAGAUCCUUUAUAAAGAUUAAAGAUUAAGUUACUUUAGGGAUAACAGCGUAAUUUCUUUUGAGAGUUCUUAUCGAAAAAGUAGGUUGCGACCUCGAUGUUGAAUUAAAAUAUCUAUAUAAUGCAGAAGUUAUAUUAGAAGGUCUGUUCGACCUUUAAAUUUUUACAUGAUUUGAGUUCAAACCGGUGUGAG
rnacentral:rRNA from 1 species